rnacentral:rRNA from 1 species
UGGGGAAUUUUGGACAAUGGGCGAAAGCCUGAUCCAGCAAUGCCGCGUGUGUGAAGAAGGCCUUCGGGUUGUAAAGCACUUUUGUCCGGAAAGAAAUGGCUCUGGUUAAUACCUGGGGUCGAUGACGGUAACGGAAGAAUAAGGACCGGCUAACUACGUGCCAGCAGCCGCGGUAAUAUGUAGGGUCCAAGCGUUAAUCGGAAUUACUGGGCGUAAAGCGUGCGCAGGCGGUUGUGCAAGACCGAUGUGAAAUCCCCGAGCUUAACUUGGGAAUUGCAUUGGUGACUGCACGGCUAGAGUGGGUCAGAGGGGGGUAGAAUUCCACGUGUAGCAGGGAAAGGCGUAGAGAUGUGGAGGAAUACCGAUGGCGAAGGCAGCCCCCUGGGAUAACACUGACGCUCAUGCACGAAAGCGUGGGGAGCAAACAGG